CAAGACGCACCUCACAGAAUAUUCUUUUCAUUUUAGAAUCUAGUUCUUCUUAGCAAUGGGAAGAGCUCAUUUUUUUGCGCUGUUCGAAUCAGCGAAGCGCGCAAUCUCCGUGACGAUGCAGGGAGUACAUCAUCAUCAUCAUCAUCAUUAUCUACCAAAAUAAAGAGGAGGAGCGAUAAAAGACAAGGUCUGUCUGCUGCCACGGUGCGGAGAGUAGCGAACUUAUUCGCGAUCGAGCGAGACCAGCGGCUGCUAACCAAGGAUUGCAGUGAGAGACGA